UACGAAGGGGGCUAGCGUUGCUCGGAAUUACUGGGCGUAAAGGGCGCGUAGGCGGAUCGUUAAGUCAGAGGUGAAAGCCCAGGGCUCAACCCUGGAAUUGCCUUUGAUACUGGCGAUCUUGAGUACGGGAGAGGUGUGUGGAACUCCGAGUGUAGAGGUGAAAUUCGUAGAUAUUCGGAAGAACACCAGUGGCGAAGGCGGCUCACUGGCCCGGAACUGACGCUGAGGCACGAAAGCGUGGGGAGCAAACAGG
rnacentral:rRNA from 1 species